UGGGGAAUAUUGGGCAAUGGAGGAAACUCUGACCCAGCGACGCCGCGUGAGGGAUGAAGGCCUUCGGGUUGUAAAGCUCUUUUGUAGGGGAAGAUAAUGACUGUACCCUAAGAAUAAGGUCCGGCUAACUUCGUG
rnacentral:rRNA from 1 species